rnacentral:misc_RNA from 1 species
AAGUGAGGCAGUAUUACAACUUUUUAUAUAGAGUAUAUAUAGAGUCAGGCAGUAUUAUUUUGUAAUAAAUUAUUUUAUUCUUAGUUUUUCAUUGUAGAAGUAUGAGCUGAGAAAUUAAUGAAUAGCAUAAUAUGAAUUUGAAUGAAUUAUGUCAGUAUUUAAAUGCGUGGGACAAUUCUUCUACUAAAUCAAGACUUACAAUACUAAAAACAUUCAUUGAUGAGUAUAAAGGAAAAACUUCAUCUGAGCUUGAAGUUGCUUUUGCUAAUGUUCCUAAAUUGUUUUUUACUAGAUUGUUGUCGUGGUGGAAAGUUUCUUACCUUACAUGCAGUUCACCAUGUGUUCAACUUAAAGCAAUCAGGGUUUUUGUUUGUGCGUAUGGAGGGAAUAUAUUCUUAGUCGAUUUUAUUGAUAUUGGAGGGAUAAAUAUGCUGCUCGAAAUUCUAUUACUUAAUAAUGAGGAAAAGAAAAUUGAAUCUUUAAAUCUAUUGAUGGUUAUUGCUAAUAAUGGACUAAAAUACAAAGAAAUUAUAUGCAAAAAUCAUGGUCUUCAAAUUUUAGCUGGGUGUUUACAAGCAUCAAUAAACCAAAACUGUCAAGUAGGAUGCCAUGCUUUGCUCCAAGAUUUAGCAACAACUUGUUCUAAAUAUGAGAAAAAAAUCUUUAAAACAAUGGUUUCUCUUCUGAAAUCAACAUCGACAGAUGCACAGUUCUCCGCUGCUCAAAUUAUACAGAACAUGCAACCUAGUCAAGUACAAAAGACUGUUAUCAAUCCAUGUAUUGCCUUGCUAGGAUCAGUAAAUUUGAAAGUUCAAUAUGAAACAUGCAAUCUUGUAAAGUUUUUAGUUUCCAUUGAAAAUAUUCAAGACGACAUUCUGUUCAGUAUAAUUUCAGUUUUAAAAUCUGGGAUUGAGACAACUGAUGGAUCAAUAAAUUCAUUGUUGUUUGUACAACUUACUGCUGCAGCAAAGAUCAUUGGCUCGGUUGCAUUAAUUUUCUUUUGAAUGCGCUUAAUUAUAAACAUUUCGAAGGUCGGAAUCAUGUUAUUGAAGCAUUAAAGAACUUCAAAGAUGUUAAAACAAAACAAACUUUUGAUACAAUCGAAGAUCAAGUGUUUGCAAUAGAGAAAACAUCAAUUCUGAAACAUUAAAUGAUAAAUUUCUUAAU